CCCCGGCUGAUACCCCCACUCCUCAAGUCUUAACUCUUUGCCUGUUGAGAAGAUGCAAAGGCAUCCAGUACCAAAAGCAAUGGAAUCUGUAAGUGGAAAGUGGGGAGAGACAGAAAACUGGAUGAUAAAAUAUAACUUGACACAAGAUUCUACAACAUAAAGAUUCUAA